rnacentral:lncRNA from 1 species
CAAAGUAACUGAUCAUGAGGCCCAACAUGCAUGAGCCAUCCUGAGUCUCCUUCCUCCGUAGGAUGGAGCCUAUAGUACUCAGCAGAGUCAGUUUUACCAGUUGCUAGGAACCAUGGCCUGCUCACUCUCAGCAGAACCAAGCAACAGUACAAGACUAGGGAAUCCAGAGCCAAGCCCAGUGGAUUGAUAUGUCCAAGCAGCAGCAAAGCAUCCAGUUUAACCAAUUUAUCUUGAGAAUCAACCUGGCUGUCUUGAACCAGAUUAUGACCCUCCUGCCUCAAGUUCCCAAGUGCUACGAUUAUAGACAUGAGCCACCACACCUGACCACAGAUACAUAAAGUGAGUGGUCAUGUGAAACUGAAGAAAUAAAUGUUCAAGUUCUCCGCAGCCAAAGAACACUAAGAAAUGCUAGGAAGUCACCAGAAGGUUGGUAGAGUCGGAGAACAAGAGGGAACCUCCCCAAUGACACCAUAGUGCUGUGUUUCUACCUUGAUCUUAAGGAAAUUGUAGCAAACUGAAAGUGUCUCCUCUUCCUGUCUUCAUUGUCCAUCUACAUAAUAAAAAUAUUUUGUUCAAGUAAACAGCCGAGGCAGAUGGACACAGGGAUUAGGUAUAAAAGACAGGUCUAUGCUGGAGGGUUGGUUGAGAUUCCACAUGUGAUGUUGAGAAGUAUCUGUGUGGUCCAAGGAUAGAGAGCAAGACUCUGAAGUCCCUGUUAUAUCCCCCUACCUUUAACAACAACCAAUCUAGUUUCCUCUAUUAAACCAACUGGGUGGAGCAAGGAACUGCAACUUCAAGGCCUGCCUGGGCAGCUUCCUAAGACGCUGUCUCAAAAUGCAAAGUGACCAGAAAGGUGGGGGAUACAUCUCAGUGGCAGAACCCUUACUUAACAGGAAAGACAAAAAUCUGUGCAAAUAU